UCUUAUGUUGUGUGCAUGGAAUAAUGGAAUAGGACCUCGGUUCUAUUUUGUUGGUUUUCGGAAUCUGAGGUAAUGAUCAAUGGGGACAGGCGGGGGCAUUCGUAUUGCGACGUUAGAGGUGAAAUUCUUGGAUCGUCGCAAGACGGACCGAAGCGAAAGCAUUUGCCAAGUAUGUUCUCGUCGAUCAAGAACGAAAGUUAGAGGUUCGAAGGCGAUCAGAUACCGCCCUAGUUCUAACCAUAAACUAUGCCUGCCAGCGAUCCGCCGAAGUUCCUCCGAUGACUCGGCGGGCAGCUUCCGGGAAACCAGAGCUUUUGGGUUCCGGGGGAAGUAUGGUUGCAAAGCUGAAACUUAAAGGAAUUGACGGAAGGGCACCACCAGGAGUGGAGCCUGCGGCUUAAUUUGACUCAACACGGGAAAACUCACCAGGCCCGGACACCGGAAGGAUUGACAGAUUGAGAGCUCUUUCUUGAUUCGGUGGGUGGUGGUGCAUGGCCGUUCUUAGUUGGUGGAGCGAUUUGUCUGGUUAAUUCCGAUAACGAACGAGACUCUAGCCUACUAACUAGGCGUACCCGGUAUCCACAAUCGUGCUACCGGCGAUCAAAUUUCUUCUUAGAGGGACAGGCGGCUUCUAGCCGCACGAGACUGAGCAAUAACAGGUCUGUGAUGCCCUUAGAUGUCCUGGGCCGCACGCGCGCUACACUGAAGGAAUCAGCGUGUCUUCCCUGUCCGAAAGGACCGGGUAAUCCGCUGAACCUCCUUUGUGCUAGGGAUUGGGGCUUGCAAUUGUUCCCCAUGAACGAGGAAUGCCCACCAGA
rnacentral:rRNA from 1 species